rnacentral:tRNA from 1 species
GCCUUAAAAGCUAAUAGCCNAGCGCCUGGUCUUGUAAACCAGCGAGGAAGGUUAAAAUCCCUCUUAAGGCU